rnacentral:rRNA from 1 species
CACGUAGGAGGCGAGCGUUGUCCGGAAUCAUUGGGCGUAAAGAGCGCGCAGGCGGUCGAUCAAGUCGAGUGUGAAAGCCCCCGGCUCAACUGGGGAGGGUCAUUCGAUACUGAUCGACUCGAAGGCAGGAGAGGGUAGUGGAAUUCCCGGUGUAGUGGUGAAAUGCGUAGAUAUCGGGAGGAACACCAGUGGCGAAGGCGACUACCUGGCCUGUUCUUGACGCUGAGGCGCGAAAGCUAGGGGAGCAAACGGG